UUAAGUUCAGCGGGUAUCCCUACCUGAUCCGAGGUCAAGAUGGUAAAAAGGGGGGCUUCUGGGGGCCGAUCCGCCGGGCUCGAGGUGCGCGUUUCUGCUGCGCUCGAAGCCAACGUACCGGCCGCCAAUGAUUUUGGGGCGAGUCCACGCGCGGGGGCGGGACAGACGCCCAUCACCAAGCUGGGCUUGAGGGGUCAAAU
rnacentral:misc_RNA from 1 species